GCGGCCGUGACCCUGCUGGAGUGCGGGGGGGACCUCCAGCCCCCCGGGGGGUCCCUGACUCUGCUCUGCCGCGCCUCCGGGUUCAGUUUCAAGAGUUUUGACAUGUACUGGGUCCGGCAAAGACCUGGGAAGGCGUUGGAAUUCGUUGCAUGGAUCAACGACGAUGGUGACAGCACCGGUUACGCGCCGUCGGUCAAGGGCCGGUUCUCGAUCUCCAGGGACAACGGGCAGAGCUCGGUGACGCUGACCAUGAACAACCUCAAGGACGAGGAUUCCGCCGUUUAUUUCUGUGCCAAGGGUGCUUAUGGUGCUGGUGGUUACUAUGCUGGUGCUCAUUAUGUUGAUGGUUUCAUCCAUUACCCACCACUCGUGUCCCUACCGAUCCCCAAAUGUCCCCAGACCCUCUUCCCAAACCCCAACCCUCGACCCGAGCUUGAGCACUGA